CGGGUGAGUAACACGUGGAUAACCUACCUAUAAGACUGGGAUAACUUCGGGAGACCGGAGCUAAUACCGGAUAAUAUUUUGAACCGCAUGGUUCAAAAGUGAAAGACGGUCUUGCUGUCACUUAUAGAUGGAUCCGCGCUGCAUUAGCUAGUUGGUAAGGUAACGGCUUACCAAGGCAACGAUGCAUAGCCGACCUGAGAGGGUGAUCGGCCACACUGGAACUGAGACACGGUCCAG
rnacentral:rRNA from 1 species